ACUUCCCCCGGCUCCAGCCGGCGCAGGCAGCGGCGGCAGCAGCAGGCGAGCCUCGGCCCCGCAAGGCCAUGAAGGUGAAGAAGGGCGGCGGUGGGGCCGGGACGGCGACGGAGUCCGCUCCGGGGCCCUCGGGCCAGAGCGUGGCCCCCAUACCACAGCCGCCUGCGGAAUCCGAAUCUGGGUCCGAGUCGGAGCCGGACGCAGGCCCAGGGCCCAGGCCGGGGCCGCUGCAGAGGAAGCAGCCGAUCGGGCCGGAGGACGUGCUGGGGCUGCAGCGGAUCACCGGUGGGGCCCGUCCCCUUUUCCCAGCGUGGAGGUACGUGCGGCAGCAGCUGCAACCAUAGCCCUGUAGCUGUGGAGUCUCCAGAGCGCUUUGAGGCCCGUCCCUGCACUAAUGAAGAGAGGGGCUGAGUGCAGCCUGUCCUCAGCCCCCACGCUGGAGGCUAGGUGGAGGCUGAGUUACUUGGGAGGCAUUCAGACUCUUCAUGUCUCCCCAACCAUUAAUACCCUCACCCUGAUCCUCCAGGAAGACUUGGGCCAUUUUCUUCCCCGGGAA
rnacentral:lncRNA from 1 species